CCUACGGGAGGCAGCAGUAGGGAAUCUUUCACAAUGGGCGAAAGCCUGAUGGAGCAACGCCGCGUGCAGGAUGAAGGCCUUCGGGUUGUAAACUGCUUUUAUAAGCGAGAAAUAUGAUGGUAACUUAUGAAUAAGGAUCGGCUAACUACGUGCCAGCAGCCGCGGUCAUACGUAGGAUCCGAGCAUUAUCCGGAGUGACUGGGUGUAAAGAGUUGCGUAGGUGGCAUAAUAAGUAGCUAGUGAAAUCUGGUGGCUCAACCAUUCAGACUAUUAGCGAAACUGUUAAGCUCGAGACCGUUAGGGGUAACUGGAAGUUCUAGUGUAGGAGUGAAAUCCGUAGAUAUUAGAAGGAACACCAAUAGCGUAGGCAGGUUGCUGGGACGGUUCUGACACUAAGGCACGAAAGCGUAGGGAGCAAACGGGAUUAGAUACCCCUGUAGUC
rnacentral:rRNA from 1 species